rnacentral:tmRNA from 1 species
GGGGGCGACCGGUUUCGACAGAGCCGUUCCUCUCUCGGUUGCGAGCCGAGGCGCCGCGGGCCUCGUAAAAAGCGGCAAAACAAGUAAUUGCGAAUAACGAUUACGCUCUCGCUGCCUAAGAACUAGGUAGCACGCCCGGGGAGCCGAGCCUGUAGGCAACCCGGUAGCGACGAAUAAAUCAGGAUAGCGCGCGAAGCCGCCACUCGAGGCGACGUGCGCGAAACAAAUCGAGCAUGCCCUAAGGUGGCCCGUCCGCCGGCAGCCUUGGGACGAAAAUAAUGGCAGACUACGCUCGUAGUGACCCUGAGUGCGCCGACUUUGGAAGGGGGUUCGAUUCCCCCCGCCUCCACCA